CGCUGAGGCCUGCCGGAAGCCAAGAUGGCGUAUCGGCGUUCGCCAGGACGCAGUUGGCGCCUUGUCAGUAUCUGAGCUGGUAGUUUGUAAGCGGCUGUGGCGAACGCCCUCUCCGCCGUCAUGGCCAGGCAUCGGAAUGUCCGAGGCUAUAACUACGAUGAAGAUUUUGAAGAUGAUGAUCUCUAUGGCCAGUCUGUAGAGGAUGAUUAUUGUAUUUCACCAUCAACAGCUGCUCAGUUUAUUUACUCACGACGUGACAAACCUUCAGUUGUUGAACCUGUAGAAGAAUAUGAUUAUGAAGAUUUGAAAGAAUCCUCUAAUUCUCUUUUGAACCAUCAGCUAAGCGGAAUUGAUCAAGCUCGUCUUUUUUCAUGCCUUGAUCACAUGAGAGAGGUACUUGGAGAUGCUGUGCCAGAUGACAUAUUGAUUGAAGCAGUUCUGAAGAACAAGUUUGAUGUGCAAAAGGCUUUGUCAGUGGUUCUGGAGCAAGAUAAAAUGCAGAAUUUGAAGGUCAAGAGUGAGGGAGCAAUAUCUACAGGAAAGAUAGCAAAAGGAAAAUCAAUAGAUUCCCAGUCAUCUCGAAGUGAAUCUGAAAUUGUGCCAAAAGUUGCUAAAAUGACUGUAUCUGGAAAGAAGCAAACUAUGGGAUUUGAAGUGCCUGGAGUAACUGCUGAAGAAAAUGGUCAUAUUUUCCACACACCUCAAAAAGGACAUUCUAGUGAAGAUACCAGCCUUGUUUCUUCUGAUGUACUUGAGACCGCUUCUAAAUCAGCUCUUCCAUCCCACGCCAUUCAAGCAUCAGAAGAGCAGAGUUCAACACCAACACCACCAGUGAAGAAGUCUAGCAAGCUGAGGCAACAAAUAGAUAUCAAAGCGGAGCUGGAAAAGCGGCAAGGAGGGAAGCAACUCCUCAACCUAGUGGUCAUUGGUCAUGUUGAUGCUGGGAAAAGUACUCUGAUGGGCCAUUUGCUUUAUCUUCUGGGUAAUGUAAACAAAAGAACUAUGCAUAAGUAUGAACAAGAGUCUAAAAAGGCUGGCAAAGCUUCGUUUGCAUAUGCAUGGGUCUUGGAUGAGACUGGCGAAGAAAGGGAAAGGGGAGUAACAAUGGAUGUUGGUAUGACAAAGUUUGAGACCAAAACCAAAGUUAUUAUAUUAAUGGAUGCUCCAGGCCAUAAGGAUUUCAUUCCAAAUAUGAUUACAGGAGCAGCCCAGGCAGAUGUAGCUGUUUUAGUUGUAGAUGCCAGCAGGGGAGAGUUUGAAGCUGGAUUUGAGACGGGGGGACAAACACGAGAACAUGGCCUCUUGGUUCGUUCUCUGGGAGUGACCCAGCUCGCAGUUGCAGUCAAUAAAAUGGAUCAGGUUAAUUGGCAGCAAGAAAGGUUUCAAGAGAUUACUGGAAAACUUGGGCACUUUCUUAAGCAAGCAGGUUUUAAGGAAAGUGAUGUAGCUUUUAUCCCUACAAGUGGUCUCAGUGGUGAAAAUCUAAUCACAAGAUCUCAGUCAAGUGAACUUACAAAAUGGUAUAAAGGACUAUGUUUAUUAGAACAAAUUGAUUCCUUCCAGCCUCCUCGAAGAUCUGUUGACAAGCCAUUUAGAUUAUGUGUAUCUGAUGUUUUCAAAGAUCAAGGAUCUGGAUUUUGUGUAACUGGUAAAAUUGAAGCUGGUUAUAUCCAAACUGGUGACCGACUACUAGCAAUGCCUCCUAAUGAAACUUGUACUGCAAAAGGAAUCACCCUGCAUGAUGAACCUGUUGACUGGGCGGCAGCAGGCGAUCAUGUUAGUCUUACGUUGGUUGGGAUGGAUGUCAUCAAAAUCAAUGUUGGCUGCAUAUUUUGUGGACCCAAAGAACCCAUUAAGAUUUGCACUCGUUUCAGAGCCCGAAUCCUCAUCUUUAAUAUUGAAAUUCCUAUCACUAAAGGAUUUCCUGUGCUGUUACACUACCAAACCGUCAGUGAACCUGCCGUUGUUAAACGAUUGAUUAGCGUCUUAAACAAAAGCACUGGUGAAGUCACGAAGAAAAAGCCUAAAUUGUUGACCAAAGGCCAGAAUGCAUUGGUGGAGCUACAGACACAAAGACCAGUGGCUCUUGAGCUGUACAAAGACUUUAAAGAGCUGGGGAGAUUCAUGCUGCGCUACAGUGGUUCUACCAUAGCUGCUGGUGUAGUCACCGAGAUUAAAAGAAUGAUGGGAAGAAAAUGUUUCAUCUUAGAUCUUCUCAUAACGAGACUUCCAAACUGUCUUCUCCACCAGUAAUAUGCUCAAAAUUAAAGGAAAUCCAUUGAAAAAUACAUCUGUAUGCAGUCCAAACCAUGAGAAUAGACUUUAAUAAGAGUCAAAUGAAUUGAGGGUAGUGGUUUUGUUUAACAAAGUGCCCUCAUUACAUUUUUUUUUUAAAUAACUGGUUCUCAGUUCAUUCAUUCAGAAAGUUCAGUUAAUAUAUCAGUAAUGUUUCUGAAACAUUAAUAUAUAAUGUAAGGUACAGUUGAGUUUUGGAGAAAAUAGCCAGAAAUGAACCAGAAUUUCAGUGAUUUAAAUUUUCUUCCACACUGUCAUGGUUAAUAUAGAUCUUAUGAAUACAUGCAUGCCUCAUUUUAUUGCACUUCACAGAUACUGCAUUCUACAGAAUGAAGGUUUGUGGCAACCUUGCAUUGAGCAGGUCUCUAGGCACCAUUUUCCCAACAGCAUUUGCUCACUUCAUGGCUCUGUUUCACACUUUGGUAAUUCUUGCAGUAUUUCAGACUUUUACAUUAUUAUUAUAUUUGUUAUGGCGAUCUGUGAUCAGUAAUCUUUGAUGUUACUCCUACAAAAAGGUUAUGACUCACUGAAGGCUUAGAUGAUGGUUAGCCUUUUUUAGCUAUAAAGUAUUUUUAAGUUAAGGUAUGUACACUGUUUUCUUAGACAUAAUGCUGUUGCACUCUUAAUAGACUAUAGUAUAGUGUAAACAUAACUUUUCUAUGCACUGGGAAACGAAAAAAUUCCUGUGACUUGCUUUAUUGUGAUUCUCACUUUAUCGAGGUGGCCUGGAAUGGAACCCACAAUAUCUCCGAGAUAAAAGGCUGAUGGGUCAGAAUUGCUACCAUGUUUCUAAACACAAUGAGAUAGUUAACCUCUGUGUUUUGAAAAAAUCCAGUUAUUCAGUUAAAGCAACAAUGUGCAAUUGAUAUUUUUUUAAAUGAGAGAGAAAAUUCAAGCUAUAAUCAGCUGCAAAGAAGUAUCAUUCAUCACUCCUACAAAAAUUUUAAGUUGCCAACUGGCAAAGAAAGGCUAAUAUUGCACUUUCAUUUAAAAAACUAACUUUUCCUUUGAAAUGUUGGUAAUGGAUUUACCUUGCUGUGACUUACGGAAGUUAUCAGAAAUAUGAGUUAGAAGACGUUGAAUCAUCAUGACGUGAACUCUACUUCCAGCCAAACCACAAAAUGUUUACAGUUUUCUCUUUUGAUUUCAACUUACAACACACAUUUUUAAGGAAGAAUAACUAAAAUGGGUUAUUGAGGUAGUUAAUAUUUGACCUGAGCAGUUUUUUAGUUAACUGUAAGAAAAGAUUUGUUGAAGGUUAAUAAAGGUAUUUUGUGUUGAGCAGUGAGUGUUCUUCCUUCAACGAACAACCAUUUGGAACUGCUUAGUUUGCAGUUAUUGGAAAUUGUUCCUUUGGUAACCAAGAUAUUAUUUAAGGUGAAAAGCCAGUUAAUAAAAUGCCUUAGUUUAAGCAUAACAACAAAA